AUUGAACGCUGGCGGCAGGCCUAACACAUGCAAGUCGAGCGGAUGAAGGGAGCUUGCUCCUGGAUUCAGCGGCGGACGGGUGAGUAAUGCCUAGGAAUCUGCCUGGUAGUGGGGGAUAACGUCCGGAAACGGGCGCUAAUACCGCAUACGUCCUGAGGGAGAAAGUGGGGGAUCUUCGGACCUCACGCUAUCAGAUGAGCCUAGGUCGGAUUAGCUAGUUGGUGGGGUAAAGGCCUACCAAGGCGACGAUCCGUAACUCGUCUGAGAGGAUGAUCAGUCACACUGGAACUGAGACACGGUCCAGACUCCUACGGGAGGCAGCAGUGGGGAAUAUUGGACAAUGGGCGAAAGCCUGAUCCAGCCAUGCCGCGUGUGUGAAGAAGGUCUUCGGAUUGUAAAGCACUUUAAGUUGGGAGGAAGGGCAGUAAGUUAAUACCUUGCUGUUUUGACGUUACCAAUAGAAUAAGCACCGGCUAACUUCGUG
rnacentral:rRNA from 1 species